rnacentral:rRNA from 1 species
CCUAGAAAAAAUCUAAGGUGAAACCUGCCCAGUGGUUUUCAAAUAUAACUGUAAACAGUUUUAAGAAGACUUAAAGGACGCAGUAACCUGACUGUGAUAAUGUAGCAUAAUCAUUCGCCAUUUAAUUGAUGGAUAGUAUGAAUGGUCAAACGAAUUCCCCACUAUCUAAAAAAGAGAAGCCAUGAAACUAAAAUAAUAGUUAAGAUGCUAUUUAAAAUUGUAAGACGAAAAGACCCUAUAGAGCUUAACUAUAAUCUCCCUCAUACCAAAGAACACUUUCUUAAAACAGGAAGAAUGGUAGUUUAGUUGGGGCGACUGCCUUUUAAAACUAACAAAGGUAAGCUAAUGUUAAUAACAAAUUUACUGUACAACCAACAAAUUUAACAGUUACUACAGUAGGCUAUAAUGACCCGUUUAAGUUUAGUAAUACAUUCAACGAUCAAUGAAUAAAAGCUACCUUAGGGAUAACAGAAUAAUUUUGUCUUAGAGACCUCAUCGAAGACAAAGUUUAUCACCUCUAUGUUGAAUUAAGAUAACCCAGCAGUGCAGAAGUUGCUAAAGGUAGGUCUGUUCGACCUUUAAAAU